UAAGACAUUGGUGGUGUAAAAUACAGUUUUCUGUGAUGUUUUUUUUUUUUUUUUUUUAAUCUUGAAACGUUAUCAGGGUAGCCAACGGUUUCACACAAAUGACUAAGCAAGCUGAAGGCCAGGCCCAUUCGCUGAGGACACUUCACUUCCACAUCAAGGUCACUCCAACUGAUGCAGAACCACAAGUGAGUGGAAAUGGUGGAGGAACAGGCUCAUCUGUAAGGAUCCCCUGCUGAGGCUGUUCAAUGGUCCAUAAGCCCAGCCACAUCCAACAUAUGUCAACAUGACGUAUGCUGCAUCCAUCCAUCCAUCCAUCCAUCCAUCCGUUUUCCACCGCUUAUCUGGGGCCGAGUGUGCUGAACCCUUCAAGACCGUUGCGUUGCCAUGACGAGCGAGGAGGAGGAGGGCCCCAACGUUGCAACACCAACAGCAACAACACCAUCAGCGGCAGCCAUCUCCAGGGCAACAACAGCCAUAGCCAGGGGCGACAGCGAUGAUGCCGUCACUUCC